rnacentral:rRNA from 1 species
GACGAACGCUGGCGGCGUGCCUAAUACAUGCAAGUUGAGCGCUGAAGGUUGGUACUUGUACCGACUGGAUGAGCAGCGAACGGGUGAGUAACGCGUGGGGAAUCUGCCUUUGAGCGGGGGACAACAUUUGGAAACGAAUGCUAAUACCGCAUAAAAACUUUAAACACAAGUUUUAAGUUUGAAAGAUGCAAUUGCAUCACUCAAAGUUGAUCCCGCGUUGUAUUAGCUAGUUGGUGAGGUAAAGGCUCACCAAGGCGAUGAUACAUAGCCGACCUGAGAGGGUGAUCGGCCACAUUGGGACUGAGACACGGCCCAAACUCCUACGGGAGGCAGCAGUAGGGAAUCUUCGGCAAUGGACGAAAGUCUGACCGAGCAACGCCGCGUGAGUGAAGAAGGUUUUCGGAUCGUAAAACUCGGUUGGUAGAGAAGAACGUUGGUGAGAGUGGAAAGCUCAUCAAGUGACGGUAACUACCCAGAAAGGGACGGCUAACUACGUG